rnacentral:rRNA from 1 species
GAUGAACGCUGGCGGCGUGCCUAAUACAUGCCAGUCGAGCGAACAGACGAGGAGCUUGCUCCUCUGACGUUAGCGGCGGACGGGUGAGUAACACGUGGAUAACCUAUCUAUAAGACUGGGAUAACUUCGGGAAACCGGAGCUAAUACCGGAUAAUAUAUUGAACCGCAUGGUUCAAUAAUGAAAGACGGUUUUGCUGUCACUUAUAGAUGGAUCCGCGCCGCAUUAGCUAGUUGGUAAGGUAACGGCUUACCAAGGCAACGAUGCGUAGCCGACCUGAGCGGGUGAUGCGCCACACUGGAACUGAGACACGGUCCAGACUCCUACGGGAGGCAGCAGUAGGGAAUCUUCCGCAAUGGGCGGAAGCUUGACGGAGCAACGCCGCGUGAGUGAUGAAGGUCUUCGGAUCGUAAAACUCUGUUAUUAGGGAAGAACAAAUGUGUAAGUAACUAUGCACGUCUUGACGGUACCUAAUCAGAAAGCCACGGCUAACUACGUG